GGGGCUGUUUGGUUUUGACAGCGGGUAGAGGUGGUAUGUAAGCAUGCAGUGAGACGUCAUCUAUCACUUAAAUCUAUGAUGGCGAACAGUAACUGGCGAAUCUAAUUACGCUCUUGCUGCCUAAUUGAAGUAUAGUAGAUUAUUGGCUUAAUCGCAACACGGGUGUUGCGACAAGACAUCGCUCAGAAGCUAUUUCCCUUAAGCGUCUGAUUUAGCGGUGUAGGAAAAUAGGGGAUAGUCAAAGUAUGCCUUGAUGCUUUGAUAAAGUUUUAAAGGAUAAGGAAAGAGUUGGUGGCUUCGGUCUUGCUUUUUCUCGAAAAUCAAAGGCGAAGAUAAGCAUGUAGAAAGCGUAUGAUUUCCUCGUUUGGACACGGGUUCGACUCCCGUCAGCUCCACGA
rnacentral:tmRNA from 1 species